UUCUGCAUGCUACAGGUGUGCCCGCACCCCCCCCCCCAAAAAAAACCCAGUACAGUAUGAACUCAACCAUGUACAAGAAAUGAAACCGCAGAGAAGACUGGAAGACAAUAUGGCAAAGUUUUACUCGUGGUUGCUUCUAGGGGCCAUGCUAUUGAGUGGCUGUAGAACUUGUGACCUCCUGGAAUCCAGUGAUGAAGAAUGUGCUCUGAGUUUCCUUGGCUGCCUCGGAACAAACCGCCCUCCCCGCAGUCCUGUCUGCCCUGUCGGUUCAACUGUUCCCUGGGCCCAUGUCCUCUGCUCAUAAGCAAUUUUUCAGUCCCUUGGCACAGCUUCAUUAAAAAAUGUACUUCUCUGCA